rnacentral:sRNA from 1 species
AUGUUUGAGUAAGGAGCGAUGAGUGUGAGUGCAAUCUGAUUCUGAGGCAACUUCUGCACUUUUCACAUGACAAUUAUUGUCAUCUUAUACACACAAUAAUAUCAUAAACUAAAUAAAAUGGUGGAAGGAAGGAACUCGGAAGCGAAAGCAUCUGGAUGUCAAUUGCCAUGCCUAUUCAAAGGAUGACGCCUGGGCAUGAGGUGCUGCGUCUCUUUUCUUGUAAAUCCCUGCACAGCUUGUCUUGCUUAUGCUGCUUGUUUGGCUUCUGUUGGCUUUCUGUUUGUUUGGCUUCUUAGCCCUGGCUUUGUUGUAGCAGUUUUUCCAAAAAAAAAACUUUGCACUGUAUUCCUGACAAGUAAGAAUCCCAAUGAAAAGUGUUCUCGUCAGCUGCGUUCAUGAUUACCAAGGUGGAGAUAUGACUGACGCAGAGCCGCAGAGGGGACCCGUCGCUUUUGUUUUCCGUCACCUGCCAACCACAGUUACCAUCGUCUCAUCACCAACUAAUUUGUGGAAAAAAAAAAAUUGUGUGGAAAUUAUUUUGACUCUUCUAUUGAGCGAGAGAAUGGAUCCGGAUCUUUUUGUGAAUAUCUCGGAAAUUUAUUAAUCGUGUUUAUUUAUCAUACAUUAU